AGAGUUUGAUCCUGGCUCAGGACGAACGCUGGCGGCGUGCCUAAUACAUGCAAGUCGAGCGGAUCUUGAUUGCAGCUUGCUGCAAUCUUGGUUAGCGGCGGACGGGUGAGUAACACGUAGGCAACCUGCCCACAAGACCGGGAUAACAUUCGGAAACGAAUGCUAAGACCGGAUACGCAAGCUUGAGGCAUCUCGAGCUU
rnacentral:rRNA from 1 species